CAGCCGCCGCGGUAAUACGUAGGGUGCGAGCGUUAAUCGGAAUUACUGGGCGUAAAGCGUCUGUAGGUGGCUUUUCAAGUCCGCCGUCAAAUCCCAGGGCUCAACCCUGGACAGGCGGUGGAAACUACCAAGCUGGAGUACGGUAGGGGCAGAGGGAAUUUCCAGUGGAGCGGUGAAAUGCGUUGAGAUCGAAAAGAACACCAACAGCGAAAGCACUCUGCUGGGACGACACUGACACUAAGAGACGAAAGCUAGGGGAGCAAAUGGGAUUAGAUACCCCUGUAGUCCCUGUCUCUUAUAC
rnacentral:rRNA from 1 species